UACAGAGGUCUCAAGCGUUGUUCGGAUUCAUUGGGCGUAAAGGGUGCGUAGGCGGCGGUGCAAGUCUGAUGUGAAAUCCCGGGGCUCAACCCCGGAACUGCAUUGGAUACUGCAUUGCUAGAGUACUGGAGAGGAGACUGGAAUUUACGGUGUAGCAGUGAAAUGCGUAGAUAUCGUAAGGAAGACCAGUGGCGAAGGCGAGUCUCUGGACAGUUACUGACGCUGAGGCACGAAGGCCAGGGGAGCAAACGGG
rnacentral:rRNA from 1 species